UUGCAGAGUUGGCAAUGCAUGGAGAGU
rnacentral:misc_RNA from 1 species